rnacentral:rRNA from 1 species
CGGCGGAUGCCUUGGCUUGCAGAGGCGAUGAAGGACGUGAUAAGCUGCGAAAAGCUGCGGGGAUUGGCACAUACAAAUUGAUCCGCAGAUAUCCGAAUGGGGCAACCCAGCAUGUUGAAGACAUGUUAUCCGAAAGGAGGCGAACCCGGAGAACUGAAACAUCUAAGUACCCGGAGGAGAAGAAAACAAAAGUGAUUCCGAUAGUAGCGGCGAGCGAAAUCGGAUUAGCCCAAACCAGUAUUGUUACGGCAAUUCUGGGGUUGUAGGACUGCGUCGUUGGUCGUGUAAUGAACUAGAACGCUUUGGAAAGAGCGGCCAUAGAGGGUGAUAGCCCCGUAAAGGUAAAGAUCAUUGACCAUAGCAGUAUCCUGAGUAGUGCGGGGCACGUGUAACCCUGUAUGAAUCUGUGGGGACCAUCCCAUAAGGCUAAAUACUCCUGAGAGACCGAUAGUGAACUAGUACCGUGAGGGAAAGGUGAAAAGAACCCUGAAUAAGGGAGUGAAAUAGAACCUGAAACCAUACGCUUACAAGCGGUCGGAGCCAUUCGUGGUGACGGCGUGCCUUUUGCAUAAUGAGCCUACGAGU